CCUACGGGAGGCAGCAGUGAGGAAUAUUGGUCAAUGGGCGGGAGCCUGAACCAGCCAAGUCGCGUGAGGGAAGGAGGGACUGAGUAUUGUAAACCUCUGUUGCCAGGGGACAAAGGCGGCCACGGGUGGCCGUAAGAGGGUACCUGGAGAAAAAUCAUCGGCUAACGCCGUGCCAGCAGCCGCGGUAAUCCGGAGGAUGCGAGCGUUAUCCGGAUUUAUGGGGGUUAAAGGGUGCGCGGGCGGAUUUUUAAGUCAGCGGUCAAAUCGUGGGGCUCAACCCCAUCCAGCCGUUGAAACUGGGGAUCCAGAGUGUGCGAGAGGUAUGCGGAAUGCGUGGUGUAGCGGUGAAAUGCAUAGAUAUCACGCAGAACCCUGAUUGCGAAGGCAGCAUACCGGUGCACAACUGACGCUCAGGCACGAAAGCGUGGGUAUCGAACAGGAUUAGAUACCCGGGUAGUC
rnacentral:rRNA from 1 species